GGUCCAGUUUCAGUUUUCUGCAUAUUGUUAGCCAGUUUUCCCAGCACCAUUUGUUAAAUAGGGAAUCCUUUCCCCAUUGCUUGUUUGUGUCAGGUUUGUCAAAGAUCAGAUGGUUGUAGAUGUGUGGUCUUAUUUCUGAUGUCUCUAUUCUUUUCCAUUGGUCUGUAUGUCUGUUUUGGUACCAUGCUGUUUUGGUUACCAUAGCCUUGUGGUAUAGUUUGAAGUCAGGUAGCAUGUUGCCUCCAGCUUUGUUCUUUUUGCUUAGGAUUCACUUGGCUAUCUAGGCUCUUUUUUGGUUCCGUAUGAAUUUUGAAGUAGUUUUUUCUAAUUCUGUGAAGAAUGCCUUUCGUAUUUUGAUGGGAAUAGCAUUGAAUCUAUAAAUUACUUUGGUCAGUGUGGCCAUUUUUGCAAUAUUGAUUCUUCCUAUCCCUGAGGAUGGAAUGUUUUUCCAUUUGUUUUUGUCCUCUCUUAUUUCCUUGAGCAAUGGUUUGUAGAUGAAUUUUCUUAGGGUUUGCUUGACUGGGAAAUACUUUAUUUCUUCUUUGUUUUGAAGCUUAGUUUGGCAGAAUAUGAAAUUCUUGGCUGGCAUUUUUUUAUUUAAGGAGGCUAAAAACAGGCUCCUUAUCUCUUCUGGCUUGUAAGAUUUCUGCUGAGAAGUCUGCUGUUAGUCUGAUAGGGAUUUCCUUUAUUCCUAAUUUGCUUCUUUUCUUCAGCUGCCCUUAAGACUUUUUUCUUUUGCAUUCACCUUGGAGAGUUCAAUGAUGAUAUGCCUUGGGCAUGGCCAUCUUGUAUAGUAUCGUUCAGGUUUUCUCUGAAUUUCUUGUAUCUGGAUGCCAGCCUCUCUAGUAAGAUGGAGACAUUUUCCUGAAUUAUCACCUAAAAUAUGUUUUCCAAGUUGCUUGUUUUUUCUUCUCCUCUCUCAGGAAUGCCAAUAAGUCAUAGGUUUGGUCACUUUACAUAAUCACAUAUUUCUUGAAGGCUUUGUUGAUUUUUAAAAAAUUAUUUUUUCUUUAUUUUUGUCUGGCUGGGUUAAUUGAGAAGAUUUGCCCUGAAGCUCUGAAAUUCUUUGUUUUGCUUGUUCUAUUCUAUUGUUAAAGCUUCUAACUAUAUUUUGAAAUUCCUUUGUGAAUUUUUCUUUUUUUAUAUAUUAAUAUUUUUCGUUUUUAAUUUUUUUAUUUUCUUUUUAGUGCAGAGAUGAGGUCUCACUAUAUUGCCCAGGCUGGUCUCAAGCUCUUGUACUCAAACGACCAUCCCACCUUGGCCUCCCAAAGUGUUGAGAUUAUAGGCAUUAGCCACCACACCUGGCCCCUUUAGUGAAUUUUUCAGUUGCAGGAGUUCUACGUGGUUUUUUUCUUAAUAUAAUUAUCUCAUCUUUCAUACCCUGAGUAGUUUUUUUGUUUGUUUGUUUCUUUGUAUUGGGUUUCAACUUGGAUUUCGUUGGGUUUCCUUGCAAUCCAUAUUUUGAAUUCUUUAUCUGUCAUUUCAAACUUUUCAGUUUGGUUAAGAUCUAUUGUUAGAGAGCUGAUGUGAUCCUUUGGAGGUGUCAAGACACUGGCUUUUGGUACAGCUGGAGUUCUUGCACUUAUUCUUUCUCUUCUGAGGGAUCUGUAACUUCUUAAUUUUGAGUUUGGAUGACACUUUUUAAUUUUUAAUUUGUUUCCCUUUAGUGUAUGAAUGUGAUGUAUAAUCAUUCGGUGUUGUUUCUGGGUGCUUUCAGGGGACCGAGGCAUUGUAUGGGUUCCUUGGUUGUGGAUAGCUUCUGUGUGGUGUUUUUCUCAUAUGCUGCUUUUUGUAGUGAUGUAUUGAAUGUAUGAGUCAACAACACACUACAUCUUAUGGGGCUGAGGUUGCAGAGGCGUCAGGAAGUUUAUCUCAUUGACUAGUACUAAGCCUUUCUGGUAGCAGGUUUUUAAUUUUGGUGGUUCAGUUCAGGCUGAAGACCAGUAGGAGGCGCUUAAGAGUAAGAGCCCGCUGGCCCUCAGGUAGGCUGCUGUCUGGUGGAAACGACUAUCUUGAUGGAGGAAGCAGGGGGCAGAGGUGGGAAGAGAGUGUUGGGAUGUGCGGAGGUCUUGGGGAAAGCAGUGGGAGUGGGGGAUGUGUGCACCAGCUCCUUUUCCUGAGCUAGAAGUAAUGAGACCCCCUCUGAGGGCAACCACAAAAAUGGGCUCGGGGCAGGGCCUCUUCCCCCAGUCCGGUCCAGGGCAGGCAACUCCACAAUUUGUCUGUCUUCCAUUGUGAGAAGCCUGCCACUGUGUGUAGGCAGCGGAAGUUGGCCCUUGCCCUCUCUGUAAACCCAAGCAUCUUGAGAUCACCUUCAGCAGAGUGGAGCAACCAAGAAAAGAACGAAGAACACUCUGCCUAUGGUAACAUCUCCGUUUUCAGAAGCUCAGAAAAGUAAGCUGCUUGCUCAAGAAUGGACGGCUUCAAGGUGGCAGAGCUGGAAGUUUCUAACUCACUCACCUCAUACUCAGACCUGCACUGUUUUUCAAGACAGUCAAUAUUUCAGGCCAUCUACUGAUUGGAUGAGGCCCACCAGCAUUCUGAAAGACAAGGAAUCUGAGACCUGGCUGGGAGAAGAGGACUUGCCUAAAGUUAUCCCACACAGCAAAUUAGUUGGAAAACCAGGAUAGUUGAGUAAAUAUCCUGGAGCCCAGCCAAGUAAUGAAGCCAGAAUUCAGAAAGCUGUUUUGGCUAGAUCUUGGAUUUUUACAAUAAAGGGUCUGUAAGGGAUAUUUGUGAAAAAUGUUGACACUUGACGGCUGUCCUGAUUCAUUCAGCUACCUAGGUUAUCUCUGCCUCUCUUUGACUUGUGUUUUGUCUUUUAAGAUGGCAGUCUUGCUCUUUUGCCUGGGCUGGUCUUGAACUCCUGGGCUCAAGCAGUUUUCCUGCUUUAGCCUCCUGAGUAGCUGGGGCUACAGGAGGACAUCACUGUGCCCAGCUCUCUCCGUAUCUUUGACUAGGUUAUUUUACAACCCCAUACGAUAGAAAUGAAGUUAUAGAAAACUGAUAGGAAUACAAAUAAUUAUUAUCCAUGGAAAUGCAAAUUGGAUCUAAUGGAAUGAAACUGAUUUUUUUUCCAGCAGAUAGUGACCACCUUUGUAUCCUUUUGUAAAUUCAUUUCAGCAUUCCAUAUUUGACUAAAAAUGUGUGACACUCCCAAUUUGCUUUUGAAUUCAUUGUAAUAUCUACCAAUUCCCUCAUUAAUUAAUGAGUUAAAUAAAGCCUUUGGCAUGUAUUUAUUUUGUAUCUAUAGGAGAGUCAUGAGUAUAUCUUCUUUUAAAAGGUAUUCUUCAGUAGGUCUUAGGGUGCACAAUACUUACAUCUUAUUUUCUCAUUCUACACUGUUCCCACACCUCACCCAGAAUAAAUGUAAUCUCCUGUGAGCUUCUGAACAUCAUGAAGAAUAACAGCUCAUUUUGUAAAGUCAUUUAGUAUUCG
rnacentral:lncRNA from 10 species